rnacentral:misc_RNA from 1 species
AAAAAAAAAAAAAAAAAAGAGCCACACCACACUAAAAACAUUAAGGAAAGUUUAUUUCCCUACUUGCAUUUUCCACAGCUGAUGUGACUGAAAUUAGUGGGAAUGUUUACUGCAUCCAUAUUACUAAAAGAUACAACCAAUCUGUUAGUAAUAGCCAAACACAGCAAUUAAGCAAGCUUCAAUCAGAACCAUGUUUAGAAAUUGAUAAAACCAUAACUUAGAAACAUAUAGUACGCCAACUUGAGUGGCAAAUACCUAUCUACGUGCAUUCAGACACAUGCAAACACACCCACCCCUUUAAGUACAUGCAAGCCAUGAGCCAAAGGACGUGUGGCCAACAAUAAUCAACAUGUGCAUGCAUGUUUGAUCAAAUGCUAGAAUGAAAUGAAAAGAAUACCUGCUGAAGAGAAGCUGCUUUUG